GACGAACGCUGGCGGCGUGCUUAACACAUGCAAGUCGAACGAGUGGCGAACGGGGGAGUAAUACGUGGGUAACCUGCCCUCUUUUAGGGAUAAGCAUUGGAAACGGGGUCUAAUACCGAAUAACGGGGGAUGGGCUCGUGGCUUAUCAGCUUGUUGGGUGGGUGAUGGGCUACCAAGGAGGUGACGGGUAGCCGGGCUGAGAGGGUGACGUGCCACAUUGGCACGGAGAUACUGCCCAGACUCCGACGCAAGACAGCAGUGGGGGAUAGUGCCCAAUGGGCGAAAGCCUGAUGCAGCGAGGCCGCGUGGGGGAUGAAGGCUUUCGGGUUGUAAACCUCUUUCGCUAUCGAAAGGGUAGGUGGAGAAGAAGCGCCGGCUAACUACGUGCCAGCAGCCGCGGUAAUAC
rnacentral:rRNA from 1 species